rnacentral:rRNA from 1 species
GAUGAGCCAGAAUUGGCACCUUGUCUAUAAUAAGGUGCAAAAUGAUUUUAACUGAAGAGUUUGAUCAUGGCUCAGAUUGAACGCUGGCGGCAGGCUUAACACAUGCAAGUCGAGCGGGGGAAGGUAGCUUGCUACCGGACCUAGCGGCGGACGGGUGAGUAAUGCUUAGGAAUCUGCCUAUUAGUGGGGGACAACAUCUCGAAAGGGAUGCUAAUACCGCAUACGUCCUACGGGAGAAAGCAGGGGAUCUUCGGACCUUGCGCUAAUAGAUGAGCCUAAGUCGGAUUAGCUAGUUGGUGGGGUAAAGGCCUACCAAGGCGACGAUCUGUAGCGGGUCUGAGAGGAUGAUCCGCCACACUGGGACUGAGACACGGCCCAGACUCCUACGGGAGGCAGCAGUGGGGAAUAUUGGACAAUGGGGGGAACCCUGAUCCAGCCAUGCCGCGUGUGUGAAGAAGGCCUUAUGGUUGUAAAGCACUUUAAGCGAGGAGGAGGCUACUCUAGUUAAUACCUAGGGAUAGUGGACGUUACUCGCAGAAUAAGCACCGGCUAACUCUGUGCCAGCAGCCGCGGUAAUACAGAGGGUGCGAGCGUUAAUCGGAUUUACUGGGCGUAAAGCGUGCGUAGGCGGCUUAUUAAGUCGGAUGUGAAAUCCCCGAGCUUAACUUGGGAAUUGCAUUCGAUACUGGUGAGCUAGAGUAUGGGAGAGGAUGGUAGAAUUCCAGGUGUAGCGGUGAAAUGCGUAGAGAUCUGGAGGAAUACCGAUGGCGAAGGCAGCCAUCUGGCCUAAUACUGACGCUGAGGUACGAAAGCAUGGGGAGCAAACAGGAUUAGAUACCCUGGUAGUCCAUGCCGUAAACGAUGUCUACUAGCCGUUGGGGCCUUUGAGGCUUUAGUGGCGCAGCUAACGCGAUAAGUAGACCGCCUGGGGAGUACGGUCGCAAGACUAAAACUCAAAUGAAUUGACGGGGGCCCGCACAAGCGGUGGAGCAUGUGGUUUAAUUCGAUGCAACGCGAAGAACCUUACCUGGCCUUGACAUACUAGAAACUUUCCAGAGAUGGAUUGGUGCCUUCGGGAAUCUAGAUACAGGUGCUGCAUGGCUGUCGUCAGCUCGUGUCGUGAGAUGUUGGGUUAAGUCCCGCAACGAGCGCAACCCUUUUCCUUACUUGCCAGCAUUUCGGAUGGGAACUUUAAGGAUACUGCCAGUGACAAACUGGAGGAAGGCGGGGACGACGUCAAGUCAUCAUGGCCCUUACGGCCAGGGCUACACACGUGCUACAAUGGUCGGUACAAAGGGUUGCUACACAGCGAUGUGAUGCUAAUCUCAAAAAGCCGAUCGUAGUCCGGAUUGGAGUCUGCAACUCGACUCCAUGAAGUCGGAAUCGCUAGUAAUCACGGAUCAGAAUGCCGCGGUGAAUACGUUCCCGGGCCUUGUACACACCGCCCGUCACACCAUGGGAGUUUGUUGCACCAGAAGUAGCUAGCCUAACUGCAAAGAGGGCGGUUACCACGGUGUGGCCGAUGACUGGGGUGAAGUCGUAACAAGGUAGCCGUAGGGGAACCUGCGGCUGGAUCACCUCCUUAA